rnacentral:rRNA from 1 species
GACGAACGCUGGCGGCGUGCUUAACACAUGCAAGUCGAACGAAGAGCGAUGGAAGCUUGCUUCUAUCACUCUUAGUGGCGACCGGGUGAGUAACGCGUAAUCAACCUGCCCUUCAGAGGGGGACAACAGUUGGAAACGACUGCUAAUACCGCAUACGAUCUAAUCUCGGCAUCGAGGAUAGAUGAAAGGUGGCCUCUACAUGUAAGCUAUCACUGAAGGAGGGGAUUGCGUCUGAUUAGCUAGUUGGAGGGGUAACGGCCCACCAAGGCGAUGAUCAGUAGCCGGUCUGAGAGGAUGAACGGCCACAGUGGGACUGAGACACGGCCCAGACUCCUACGGGAGGCAGCAGUGGGGAAUCUUCCGCAAUGGACGAAAGUCUGACGGAGCAACGCCGCGUGAGUGAUGACGGCCUUCGGGUUGUAAAGCUCUGUUAAUCGGGACGAAAGGCCUUCUUGCGAAUAGUGAGAAGGAUUGACGGUACCGGAAGAGAAAGCCACGGCUAACUACGUG